rnacentral:lncRNA from 1 species
ACUUGGAGCUAUUCCCUGAACUUGAAAAGUGGCGCAAUAAGGCAAAUAGGAGCUGAUGCAGGUUAUCGCUUUCUGCAUUCACAUGCUUCAUUAUGUUUCUCUUUUGUGUGGUUCCAGUUUGCACUGAAUUUUGAGGGCUUUCUGGGAGUAUCUUAGGUAUAGUUUGUUCGGUACCUGCAGUUUCUCCUUCUUUUUAUAUCCUUCUGUAAGAUUUUUUUUCCCAGCUCGCUGGUUCCCACAAAUUCCUUUUGCUCUACACUAUUUGAAUAAAUGCUGAUAAUUUGCCUAAUGGGUUAUUACUAUUUUCCCUAUUGUAAGCAGGUAGCAAUUGAGGCCUAAGCAUAUUCAUUUGGAUCCAUCUUGUUCAUAUCACAUCCUGGAGACACGGCAUGAUGAUCUAUAAGUUUUGCCUUGAAACUUAUCUACCGUAAGACUGCGAUUGACCACUUAUAAGGAGUUAAUUACUUGAGGUGUGACAAAAUGUGGAUAUUGUGGCUAUGAAGUAAACAUGACCUAGAUGCAUUUGGUGUUAUAUUUGCUGGCUAUCGAUCCCUGUAGCUCUACUCCAAUCUUGCAGUGGCUAGUUCUUGUUGAUUACACCAUUUUGUGAUAUUUGUGAUAGCC